CGUGCAGUCGAACGGUGACGAGGAGCUUGCUCCUCUGAUCAGUGGCGAACGGGUGAGUAACACGUGAGCAACCUGCCCCAGACUCUGGGAUAACAGUUGGAAACAGCUGCUAAUACCGGAUACGAGACGGAGAGGCAUCUCUACCGUCUGGAAAGUUUUUCGGUCUGGGAUGGACUCGCGGCCUAUCAGCUAGUUGGUGAGGUAAUGGCUCACCAAGGCGACGACGGGUAGCCGGCCUGAGAGGGCGACCGGCCACACUGGGACUGAGACACGGCCCAGACUCCUACGGGAGGCAGCAGUGGGGAAUAUUGCACAAUGGGCGAAAGCCUGAUGCAGCGACGCCGCGUGAGGGAUGAAGGCCUUCGGGUUGUAAACCUCUUUCAGCAGGGAAGAAGCGAAAGUGACGGUACCUGCAGAAGAAGCACCGGCUAACUACGUGCCAGCAGCCGCGGUAAUACGUAGGGUGCGAGCGUUGUCCGGAAUUAUUGGGCGUAAAGAGCUUGUAGGCGGUUUGUCGCGUCUGCAGUGAAAAUCCGGGGCUCAACCCCGGACUUGCUGUGGGUACGGGCAGACUAGAGUAUGGUAGGGGAGACCGGAAUUCCUGGUGUAGCGGUGGAAUGCGCAGAUAUCAGGAGGAACACCGAUGGCGAAGGCAGGUCUCUGGGCCAUAACUGACGCUGAGAAGCGAAAGCAUGGGGAGCG
rnacentral:rRNA from 1 species